rnacentral:rRNA from 1 species
UACGUAGGGGGCUAGCGUUGUCCGGAAUCAUUGGGCGUAAAGAGCGUGUAGGCGGCCCGGUAAGUCCGCUGUGAAAGUCGGGGGCUCAACCCUCGGAUGCCGGUGGAUACUGUCGGGCUCGAGUACGGAAGAGGCGAGUGGAAUUCCUGGUGUAGCGGUGAAAUGCGCAGAUAUCAGGAGGAACACCUAUUGCGCAGGCAGCUCGCUGGGACGUUACUGACGCUGAGACGCGAAAGCGUGGGGAGCAAACAGG